UUAGAGCAUGGGUUCCAAUAAUUAAUAUUAUACCAAUUUUAAAAAAUAAAUACAUAAAAAAUCUAAUUUUACGAAGAGACUAUGGGUUCAUGUACCCCAUAUUUAACCCUAUAAAUCCGCCCAUGCCUAGAAGACUCUCCCUCAUUUAGAGACAUACUCGCACCACUCUAACCAUAUAGCACGGCAGCCUGAGACGAUUUCUCCAAUGCUCAUGUAUCAAGAAGAGAAAUCGCCAAAGCUCAUGUAUCAAGAAGAGAUCCAGGAUGGUCAAUCGAUUAUGCCAACUAAAUUUGUUUUAUUAAAUCUCUCGUUUAUUUGUGGCAUAUGAUUCCAUCAUCAUGCUUAUAUUUGUGUAAUACAAAUAGAAAAAAAAUCGAAUAGCCUUUCAUAUUUACCCGGUAUGAUUAUAGAAAUAUGAAGAUAUUCAAUCUUCCUUUUAUAGCCUCAAUAUGCCAACCAUUUUGACUUAUACAUUUGAAACUCCAAAAGUUUCUUUUGAGAUUUUACAAUAUCAAUAUCAUGAAUAAUUUUAUGCAUCCGGAUAGUAACAAAUUAAUUUUUUUCGAAUCUUUUAACAAUAUUUGUACUACAAGAUCUUUUAUCAUACCAUUCAUAUGGUAACUCCUUCACGAAGAAACUUAUGUCAUAAUAAAUUGUCAUGGUCAAAAUUAUUUAUUAUUUUAGUUUUGCCUUUAAUAACUUUAUAAGGCACGCCAAAAUAUUUUGGUGUAUCACGUGUACGACACCAAUGACAUAUUCAUGUAACCACACAAUAAUAUUUAUUCUCUUUAUUUUACUCAAACAACCCUCAAAUGUGAGUUGUGUGGUAUUCAUCCAAUCAUGCCUUGCAUGUCUUUAUUCAUUACUUUUAUCACAUAUUACCACACUCACAUUAGGAAUGGGUCUGCAUUCUCAAUGCUUAUCACAAGUCACAUUCUCUUCAAGGAAUGAAU
rnacentral:lncRNA from 1 species